UAAAAUAUUAAUUACACUAAAACCGCCAAAAAACUACGAGCGCAAGCUUAAAACUUAAAGGACUUGACGGUGUCCCAUCUACCUAGAGGAGCCUGUUCUAUAAUUGAUAAUCCUCGCUAUACCUCACCUCUUUUAGCCUGUCAGUCUGUAUACUUCCGUCGUAAGCUUACCAUAUGAAUGUAUUAGUAGGCUAAAUAGCUCAUCCCUUAAAACGUCAGGUCAAAGUGCAGCCCACAAAGAGGGAAGAAAUGGGCUACAGUUUCUAACUUAAGAACAAACGAAUUAGCAUAUUAAUAACUGCUAUGAAGGUGGAUUUAGAAGUAAGAUUAAAAUAGAGUGUUCACUUU
rnacentral:rRNA from 1 species